rnacentral:rRNA from 1 species
UUUUAUGAGAGUUUGAUCCUGGCUCAGGACGAACGCUGGCGGCGUGCCUAAUACAUGCAAGUCGAACGCUUCUUUUUCCACCGGAGCUUGCUCCACCGGAAAAAGAAGAGUGGCGAACGGGUGAGUAACACGUGGGUAACCUGCCCAUCAGAAGGGGAUAACACUUGGAAACAGGUGCUAAUACCGUAUAACAAUCAAAACCGCAUGGUUUUGAUUUGAAAGGCGCUUUCGGGUGUCGCUGAUGGAUGGACCCGCGGUGCAUUAGCUAGUUGGUGAGGUAACGGCUCACCAAGGCCACGAUGCAUAGCCGACCUGAGAGGGUGAUCGGCCACAUUGGGACUGAGACACGGCCCAAACUCCUACGGGAGGCAGCAGUAGGGAAUCUUCGGCAAUGGACGAAAGUCUGACCGAGCAACGCCGCGUGAGUGAAGAAGGUUUUCGGAUCGUAAAGCUCUGUUGUUAGAGAAGAACA